UGAACGUGAACGCGCGAUGAGGAAGUCGCAGAGUUAGGCUGCCCAUGUGUGUAUGACUGCUGUUCGAGUCUAAUUUGUCAUCAUUCAGGGAGUUGGAUGUUUACGCAGGAUUGCGUGAAUGUGUGAGUGUGGCUGAGCUGACGCGCCGCAUGUACAGACGAGGCCUGUUUGCCUUGAGGAAGUGAUUUAACAGUGUGUAACGUGAGAAACACGGGAAAAACUUGGUAAGGUGGCCUGAUCGUGAAUCAGUGGGAACACAUGGCGAAAAUAGAGUCAAGAAGACUUCCGCUAAGACUGCCAAGUCAGCUGCUGAUCUUGGAAUAGAACACUGGAAUGAUGUGGAAAGGGCAGACAAGAGCUCACAUGCUCCACAUGAAUCUGAGGACAUGCUGAGCGGCUGACUGCAGAGCAGUGUGUGGCUAUAAAUUACGACAUCACAUUCCUUCUGCUGCAGAGCAAACACAUGGACCUCGAGUGAGAUGCUCUCUGGGUUCUGCUGUUGAGGAUGACGAGUCAAUUUAUAGCAUUCAUAUGCUGGCUUAAGCUUGUUAAGAAAGAUCUCUUAAAGAGAUAAUUCAACCAAUAGGGAAAGUUCUGUCAUCAGGUUCUCACCAAAUGCUCUUCAAAACCUAUAUAACUUGCUUUUUUCCAUAGAACACCAAAGGAAAAGUGUAGCAGAGUGUCCGAGCUGCUCUCUUAGAAGCAGUCAAGCUCCAAAAAGGCACAAUAAAUUAAUCAUAAAAGUAGUCCACUUUAUUCCAAAUAUUUUAAAGCCAUACAAUAGCUUUUCUUAAAAUGUCUGUCAUCAUUUACUUGCCUUCACGUUUUUCAAAACCAGUAAGACUUUCUUUCUUACACUGAACACGAAAGGAAAUGUUUAUAGCUUCUCUUUUCUAUACAGUGAAAGUGAAUUGUGACCAUGGCUUUAAAACAAGACUUUCAUUGAUUUUCAUUGAAUAAUUUUAUAUUUAACUGUGGGUGAGAAACAUAAUUAUUGAUGUCCUUUUUUUACUAUAAAUUCUCAUCCCUUCCCAGUAGGUGGCGUUAUGCACAAAGAAUGUGAAAGUGGAGAUUUAUAGUAAAAAGGACUUAAAUAGUGAUCCGUUUCUCACCCACACCUAUCAUAUCGCUUCUGAAGACAUGGAUUUGUCAUCUGAAAUCGGAUUACUGUACAGUUAUAAUUAGUGUUUAUACACGACCACAACCUAAGAACCCAAAAUCCCAGACAAAGCAAAAAUUAUUCCAAAAGGGCCGUUCACAAAGAAUGCAUCCGUGUGUAAAAAAAAAAAAAGAAAAAAUCUAGAAAAAUUACGUUCUUUUAACCUGACAUGGGAUCUUAAAAACCAUGCGCUAAUGGCACGAGAUGCUGAAAAAGCAGCGAAAUACAGCAGUCAAAGACAUCCGUCUAGCACACGUUUACAUGGAAAAACAAUGCCAAAACAGGGCAUAUGCAAAAAUGUGUUCUGUGUGGAAGACCUCAAAAUAACGAUAAAAAAGUAUACAAAAGAAAAAAGGGAGCAACAUUUUGUUUGCUAAAGCCUAAACAACACAUUGUUAAUGACGUAAUUUAUGUUAUUAGAGCAUAAACGCACUAAAACAAAGAAACACACUCUCCUGUGCACAAUGAAUGAACACAGUGUUCCUCACAUUAAAUUCAAAAUUAUUAGGAAACAGGUAGGAUGUGUACACUCACUGUGGCUGGCUCAUGGUGUGAUAUGCAGCAAAAGCAGAAAACCUUCUCUUUUACUUCUCUCAAAUGUGAGCUCUGGUUUGUGCUAGACAGAGGCGGCUUCACUCAUACCAAAUCUGCAAAGAAAACAGAUAAAUUCACAUAUCUAAAAUCAAUGAAGGGAGAUAUUGGAUCUGUUAUGAAAUCAAAUACUCUGUUAACUUCACACUUUUACCAGUGGCCUGUGAUUUAAAUAAA